UACGGGGGGGGCAAGCGUUGUUCGGAAUUACUGGGCGUAAAGGGUUUGUAGGUGGCUUGUUAAGUCAGACGUGAAAUCCCUCAGCUUAACUGGGGAACUGCGUCUGAGACUGGUCGGCUCGAGUGCAGGAGAGGAACGCGGAAUUCCAGGUGUAGCGGUGAAAUGCGUAGAUAUCUGGAGGAACACCGGUGGCGAAGGCGGCGUUCUGGACUGCAACUGACACUGAGGAACGAAAGCCAGGGGAGCAAACGGG
rnacentral:rRNA from 1 species